rnacentral:rRNA from 1 species
UAGGGAAUCUUCGGCAAUGGGGGGAACCCUGACCGAGCAACGCCGCGUGAGUGAAGAAGGUUUUCGGAUCGUAAAGCUCUGUUGUUAAGCAAGAACGAGCGUGAGAAUGGAAAGUUCAUACUGUGACGGUACUUAACCAGAAAGGGACGGCUAACUACGUGCCAGCAUCCGCGGUAAUACGUAGGUCCCGAGCGUUGUCCGGAUUUAUUGGGCGUAAAGCGAGCGCAGGCGGUUAGAUAAGUCUGAAGUUAAAGGCAGUGGCUCAACCAUUGUAGGCUUUGGAAACUGUUUAACGUGAGUGCAGAAGGGGAGAGUGGAAUUCCAUGUGUAGCGGUGAAAUGCGUAGAUAUAUGGAGGAACACCGGUGGCGAAAGCGGCUCUCUGGUCUCUAACUGACGCUGAGGCUCGAAAGCGUGGGGAGCGAACAGG